rnacentral:rRNA from 1 species
ACGCUGGCGGCAUGCUUUACACAUGCAAGUCGGACGGCAGCACAGAGAAGCUUGCUUCUUGGGUGGCGAGUGGCGAACGGGUGAGUAAUAUAUCGGAACGUACCGAGUAAUGGGGGAUAACUAAUCGAAAGAUUAGCUAAUACCACAUAUUCUCUGAGGAGGAAAGCAGGGGACCUUCGGGCCUUGCGUUAUUCGAGCGGCCGAUAUCUGAUUAGCUAGUUGGUGGGGUAAAGGCCUACCAAGGCGACGAUCAGUAGCGGGUCUGAGAGGAUGAUCCGCCACACUGGGACUGAGACACGGCCCAGACUCCUACGGGAGGCAGCAGUGGGGAAUUUUGGACAAUGGGCGCAAGCCUGAUCCAGCCAUGCCGCGUGUCUGAAGAAGGCCUUUGGGUUGUAAAGGACUUUUGUCAGGGAAGAAAAGGCUGUUGCUAAUAUCGACAGCUGAUGACGGUACCUGAAGAAUAAGCACCGGCUAACUACGUGCCAGCAGCCGCGGUAAUACGUAGGGUGCGAGCGUUAAUCGGAAUUACUGGGCGUAAAGCGAGCGCAGACGGUUACUUAAGCAGGAUGUGAAAUCCCCGGGCUCAACCUGGGAACUGCGUUCUGAACUGGGUGACUAGAGUGUGUCAGAGGGAGGUAGAAUUCCACGUGUAGCAGUGAAAUGCGUAGAGAUGUGGAGGAAUACCGAUGGCGAAGGCAGCCUCCUGGGAUAACACUGACGUUCAUGCUCGAAAGCGUGGGUAGCAAACAGGAUUAGAUACCCUGGUAGUCCACGCCCUAAACGAUGUCAAUUAGCUGUUGGGCAACUUGAUUGCUUAGUAGCGUAGCUAACGCGUGAAAUUGACCGCCUGGGGAGUACGGUCGCAAGAUUAAAACUCAAAGGAAUUGACGGGGACCCGCACAAGCG